AUGCACCAGCAUCUUGGACAACUGCUCCUGGCCGGCGAGGCGGCCGAUGUUACCUUCGAGGUCGGAGGCGAGACAUUUGCCGCGCACAGGUGCAUACUCGCAGCUCGUUCGUCGGUCUUCAAGGCGGAGCUCCUCGGCCCCAUGAAGGAGAAGACCGCAACUCGCGUUCUGAUCGACGACAUGGAAGCCAUGGUGUUCAAGGCUUUGCUCCACUUCAUCUACACCGAUUCGCUGCCCGCGAUCGGCGAGGGCGACACGGCGGCCAUUGCUCAGCAUUUGCUGGUUGUUGGAGUUCUAUCCAGGGUAGCGGCUGACAGGUAUGAUAUGGAAAGGCUGAAGCUGAUCUGCGAGGCGAAGCUGUGCGAUCACAUCUGCAAAAGCACGGUGGUGACUACGCUGGCGUUGGCGGAGCAGCAUGGCUGUGGUGCUCUUAAGAAGGCAUGCUUGAAGUUUCUGACGUCUGAAGGUAACCUCAAGGCAGUGAUGGCAUCUGAUGGAUAUGAGCACCUGAGCAGCAGUUGCCCAUCUGUUCUCUAUGAACUGGUCGCCAAGCUUGCUCCUUGA
rnacentral:rRNA from 1 species